rnacentral:rRNA from 1 species
UACAGAGGGUGCGAGCGUUGUUCGGAAUUACUGGGCGUAAAGCGUGCGCAGGCGGCGCGUUAAGACAGGUGUGAAAGCCCCGAGCUUAACUUGGGAAUUGCGCUUGUGACUGGCGUGCUGGAGUGUGGCAGAGGGAGGUGGAAUUCCACGUGUAGCAGUGAAAUGCGUAGAGAUCGGGAAGAACAUCGGUGGCGAAGGCGCUCUACUGGACCACAACUGACACUCAGGGACGAAAGCUAGGGGAGCGAAUGGG